rnacentral:rRNA from 1 species
CCGGAGCGUUAACAAAUGGUCGACUUGGAGGUUGUUCCUUGAGGAGUGGCUUCCGGAGCUAACGCGUUAAGUCGACCGCCUGGGGAGUACGGCCGCAAGGUUAAAACUCAAAUGAAUUGACGGGGGCCCGCACAAGCGGUGGAGCAUGUGGUUUAAUUCGAUGCAACGCGAAGAACCUUACCUACUCUUGACAUCCAGCGAACUUGGCAGAGAUGCUUUAGUGCCUUCGGGAACGGUGAGACAGGUGCUGCAUGGCUGUCGUCAGCUCGUGUUGUGAAAUGUUGGGUUAAGUCCCGCAACGAGCGCAACCCUUAUCCUUUGUUGCCAGCGAUUCGGUCGGGAACUCAAAGGAGACUGCCGGUGAUAAACCGGAGGAAGGUGGGGAUGACGUCAAGUCAUCAUGGCCCUUACGAGUAGGGCUACACACGUGCUACAAUGGCGCAUACAAAGAGAAGCGACCUCGCGAGAGCAAGCGGACCUCACAAAGUGCGUCGUAGUCCGGAUCGGAGUCUGCAACUCGACUCCGUGAAGUCGGAAUCGCUAGUAAUCGUGGAUCAGAAUGCCACGGUGAAUACGUUCCCGGGCCUUGUACACACCGCCCGUCACACCAUGGGAGUGGGUUGCAAAAGAAGUAGGUAGCUUAACCUUCGGGAGGGCGCUUACCACUUUGUGAUUCAUGACUGGGGUGAAGUCGUACAAGGGGGAAACAAA